rnacentral:rRNA from 1 species
AGGCUGAAGACCUUACCCGAUUAGCUGAGAGGUGGUGCAUGGCCGUCGUCAGUUCGUACUGUGGAGCAUCCUGUUAAGUCAGGCAACGAGCGAGACCCACGUCCACAGUUGCCAGCAUACCCUCCGGGGUGAUGGGUACACUGUGGAGACCGCCGCUGCUAAAGCGGAGGAAGGAGUGGGCAACGGUAGGUCAGUAUGCCCCGAAUCUCCCGGGCUACACGCGGGCUACAAUGGUUGGUACAAUGGGCAUCUACCCCGAAAGGGGAAGGAAAUCUCUUAAAGCCAAUCGUAGUUCGGAUUGAGGGCUGCAACUCGCCCUCAUGAAGCUGGAAUCCGUAGUAAUCGCGUUUCAACAGAACGCGGUGAAUACGUCCCUGCUCCUU